GCUGGGCAUGGUGGCCCAUGCCUAUAGUUCCGGCUACUCGGGAGGCUGAGGUGGGAGGAUCUCUUGAGCCCAGGAGUUCUGGGCUGCAGUGUGCUAUGCCAAUCGGGUGUCCGCACUAAGUUCAGCAUCAAUAUGGUGACCUCCCGGGAGCGGGGAACCACCAGGUUGCCUAAGGAGGGGUGAACCGGCCCAGGUCAGAACCAGAGCAGGUCAAAACUCCUGUGCUGAUCAGUAGUGGGAUCGCGCCUGUGAAUAGCCACUGCACUCCAGCCUGGGCAACAUAGCUAGACCCCGUCUCUU
ensembl:misc_RNA Metazoa_SRP Metazoan signal recognition particle RNA